rnacentral:rRNA from 1 species
UACGUAGGGUGCAAGCGUUAAUCGGAAUUACUGGGCGUAAAGCGUGCGCAGGCGGUUUCGUAAGUCUGUCGUGAAAGCCCCGGGCUCAACCUGGGAAUGGCAUUUGGGACUGCAAGGCUGGAGUACGGCAGAGGAGACUGGAAUUCCUGGUGUAGCAGUGAAAUGCGUAGAUAUCAGGAGGAAUACCGAUGGCGAAGGCAGGUCUCUGGGCUGAUACUGACGCUCAUGCACGAAAGCGUGGGGAGCAAACAGG